rnacentral:rRNA from 1 species
UACAGAGGGUGCAAGCGUUGUUCGGAAUUAUUGGGCGUAAAGGGCGCGUAGGCGGUGCGGUAAGUCUGUAGUGAAAUCUCUGGGCUCAACUCAGAGCUCUGCUGCAGAAACUGCCGUGCGUUGAGUGUGGGAGAGGUGAGUGGAAUUCCCGGUGUAGCGGUGAAAUGCGUAGAUAGUCGGGAGGAACACCUGUGGCGAAAGCGGCUCACUGGACCACAACUGACGCUGAGGCGCGAAAGCUAGGGGAGCAAACAGG